CUUUUACAAUUUAUUGCUACUAGAAGGUCUUGCAGAAUGGAAUAGAGAUAAAGCAAAUUCUAGUUAGUUACAUCAAUUACAAAUGGUUUAAAAUUUUUGUGAUCGCUAAUUUGAUAGAGUUGUCUUCACCUCGAAUAUCUGAAGAGCGAUUAAAGUAUCUAAAACACUUUUUCAUGGCACAGCUUUUUCGAGAAUAUCUCAAGAACGAAUUUUCUUCUAACGAUUUUUUUUUAGUUCAUCAACGGCAACAAAUUUCAAACAGGGAAAUUGCAAUUUUUACGUGUGCUUGGUCAGGUAAUUUCUUCUAACCUUACGGGGCAGCACUUUAGUUUCUCAGAUAAUACUGUGGACGGAAAUUUUUUCUACAAAUUUUUUAUUAACCUUGCAAAUCGAUGAUAAAUCUGUUGAUGGACGAAAGAAGUAACAGCUUUGACGUUAUCAGAUUUGAAUAUCCAAGAUUUCAGGUUCACUCUCAUUUACAAGUCCGUGUCGGAGCUUGUAAACGAAAUGGGAAGUAAAAUCAACGUCCUUUACUCGGAGCCAUUUGAAAGAGGAAGAUGAAUUUGCUGGAAUAACAUUUCGAUAUAUCUGGUAUGUGACUCACCGACAUUGGUUGGUUUUGCGAGCAAAUAUUUGCAAACAAAAAGCGGAAACGUCCACAACCCAUCCCAGUUACUAUCUAAGCCCACAUUCGAACAUAACCGGACCAUCCAAAAUGUCAAGGUGAAACUGAAACCAGCCUAACAACAAACCUGACAAGGUAGACCGUAAGCGAAAAUAAUAUGAAUAUAAUUUCUAUACACGAUCACGCAACACUUUGGAAGAAUUGGCCCAAAAUAUGGAUCCGUUCAUAGAAAUGCAGAUUGGACUCGAUUAAUACAUGAAUAUGUAAUCAA